rnacentral:lncRNA from 1 species
CAACACAAUGAUCAAAAUCAUAAACAUAAACAACAAAGUUUAAUACAUGUACUCAAAAAUAAAAAGUAAUAACAUAAGCAUAAAUUAGUGAUUGUAUUAAACAUACCAGGAUCUGUAAUAAUAAAAUGAAACAUGAAGGAAAAAAUCGAGCCCCCUGAUUUGACAUUGUCCCCUUAAGGAAAUUUUCCCAUUCUAGUACCCGAUGUUUAAAGGAAUAGAUCCUCUCUGGACAAAAUGAUUCUAUUCUGUAGUGUGUUAGUACAAAACAAUGAUGUCAGUGAGACACUCAGCAGGAGCAAAAUGCAUAAAUUUUUGUUGUUUUAAAAUUAGAGGAAGUCCCUCUAUUUAUAGACUACAAAGGGUAGCUUGAAUAAAUAUUUAUUGUGUCUUAUCGGAAAGGACACAACUCUUUGGACAAGUCACAAUUUUUCAUUAAAGUUACAACCCUUCAUUAAAGUCGCAACUCUUCAUUAAAGUUGCAACUCUUCAUUAAAGUUGUAAAUCUUUAUAAAAAAGUUGCAACUCUUCGUAAAAGUCACAACUUUUUUUUACAAGUCGUAACUUUUCAUAGAACUUUUUUUUAUAAAAAUCACAACUUUUCAUGAAAGGGAAGACUAAUUUUGUGAAUAAAUAAGUUAAAGGGGAAUUCUGAUUUGUAGUGGUGCCACAUAGACGGGCCUAGGGAGUAAACCUUUCACUAACACUUUAUCAUAAUCAUGAGAAGCUACUUUAAAUCAUAUAAUAAUAAUAUCAUAACAUACUUGCAUUCUUAAUUAACCAAUUCGGUAGUCUAGGGUUAAGGAUGAGGAAUACUUGCUAUCAACAUUACAACCACACAAUAGACAUAGAAGCAUUACAAUCUAAGUAACUCAUACUUUAUAAUUGAAUUCAAGAAAAAUAAAUCUUCAUACCUUCUUGCCUUUUCAUUGCCUUCAUACUUCGAUAACAAAGAAUACAUAAACAAUUCAUAAUCAAGGUAAAUUCAAGAAUCAAUCACAUAAUUAACAUCAAUUUAGUCAAUCAACAUAUUUAUCACGUCCACAAUUCACCAUAGCAAUUCAAAGUUUUCAUGAGAUUGGGGAUAGACAUGGGUCCAUAGGAAUCUUGAGUGAAUAACAAGAUUUAACCACUAAUGUAUACUUAAAAAUAUUACUUGACCAUAAUUCAUCACAAUUGAUUCCUAAUUUCGUUUUUCAAAGAAGACCCAUGUGUAAAGAAAAAUCCUAGUUUGGGGAAGUUUGAAAAUCUCUUUGAAAGGACCUCUUGGGGAAAGGAAUCCCAGGAGUGAAAGAAAUCAUACCUUAACCAAGGCUUUAGCCUCCAGUUUGAGUGAAGAACUUGAGAAUUUGAUCUUCUUCUUCAAGCUUCAAAGUUUCUUCAAUGGAGGUUGAGUAGAGAGAGAAAGUAGAGAGAAGGGAGAGCUUUUGGAUUUUGAUUUGGGGAUUUGAUUCGAGUGGA